rnacentral:rRNA from 1 species
UAGGGGGCAAGCGUUGUCCGGAAUCAUUGGGCGUAAAGAGCGUGUAGGCGGUUCGGUAAGUCGGCUGUGAAAGUCCAGGGCUCAACCCUGGGAUGCCGGUCGAUACUGCCGGACUAGAGUUCGGAAGAGGCGAGUGGAAUUCCCGGUGUAGCGGUGAAAUGCGCAGAUAUCGGGAGGAACACCUAUGGCGAAGGCAGCUCGCUGGGACGUUACUGACGCUGAGACGCGAAAGCGUGGGGAGCAAACAGG